GCCGGAAUAGCUCAGU
rnacentral:tRNA from 66 species